GACGGGGCCGCACAAGCGGUGGAGUAUGUGGUUAAUUCGAUGCAACGCGAAGAACCUUACCUGGUCUUGACAUCCCGGAGACCCUUAGGAAACGUAGGGGGUGCUUCCAUCUGGAAGAAUCUGGAGACAGGUGCUGCAUGGCUGUCGUCAGCUCGUGUCGUGAGAUGUUGGGUUAAGUCCCGCAACGAGCGCAACCCUUGCCUUUAGUUGCCAGCAGUUCGGCUGGGCACUCUAAAGGGACUGCCGGUGUUAAACCGGAGGAAGGUGGGGAUGACGUCAAGUCCUCAUGGCCUUUAUGACCAGGGCUACACACGUACUACAAUGGCCGAUACAAAGGGCAGCGACACUGCGAGGUGAAGCCAAUCCCGUAAAAUCGGUCUCAGUCCGGAUUGGAGUCUGCAACUCGACUCCAUGAAGUUGGAAUCGCUAGUAAUCGUGGAUCAGCAUGCCACGGUGAAUACGUUCCCGGGCCUU
rnacentral:rRNA from 1 species